ensembl:lncRNA
AUGCAAUGGAACCUGGUUACAAUUAGAGGGCGAUUUCCAAAAAGGAGUCAGUGUUGUCCCAGGCCCCCUUUCCUGUCAAUUGCUUUCCCCCGGGGAGAGCUACACAAAGACCUGCAACAUGACAGCUUCCUUAACCUGCUGCCAACAGUCCCCAAUCAACCCCUCAUAAUGCGUCAUGUCCAGCAGGAAAAUAACGUCGCUCAUUCCCUCACAGACUGGCAAAUGCGUCAGUCACUCCCUACUCACUGAUAUGUCAAUCAACUGGUCGCUUUUGAAAUGCUGCUGGGCUUUUUUUUACAGCUCUGCAGCUUUACAGAACCAUCACAAAGUAUCAUCAUUCGGUUCAAAUUCUGUUGGCAUCUCAUCAUGGAUUUCUUUUUGAGCUUGAUCUCUCUGUUGGUUGUCAGGCGGGAUUUUAUCUGUGCUGUGUACAAAUAGAUUGUGAAGGUUAGUGGCAUGCCCACCUUUAUCAUUUACAGGGCUUUUUUUGUUGAUCUCGGGUAACUUAUUUAUCCAAAAUGUUCCCAGAUCCAAGGGCUGAAGCCUGAAACAGGAAAGUGUAUUUUGUUGAGAGAAGGAUGUUUCUAUGACGUCACACAUAAUGGUUUUUCUAAAACAUCCUCUCGCCAAGUUCAGGGGUUGAUGUUUCGGUCUCGUAACCUGCUCUCCUUUUAAUGAGCAUUUGUUGAAAACGGUUGGGAGUGUGCUCUUAAAUUCAUUGCUUUUCCUUCUCCUCCUCACACAUCCUCGCUUCCCCUUUCAAAUCUGACACAUCAGGUUUCUUCCACCGGUAAUGAUCAAAGUCAACGAUGCUCGUUUUACACAGGAGGGGGGCAGGGGGCAAUGCAGCUGCCUCCAGCUUUGGUUCCUGAAUUAAUUUCCAGAUGAAAAUGUUGGUUUAAUGCAAUCAAGUGAUGUUAUAAACAUCCCUCUAUACCUCAGGCAUUGUGCUACCAUUCUCUGACCUUGCUAAACAUUCAGGUGCAAUUAAUUAUUUCAGCGAGAUCUAGCGACUGCUUCAAACUGAUUAGCCUCCCCGGGGGGGUUGGACAUUAUUUUAAAAACACUUUCUCAUCAUGAAUUUUAAUCAUCCCAAAAUGUAUCGAUUAAUUAUUAAUUAAGUAACUUUAAGUGAUGCCAGGUGGGUAUAAUUUCAAAAAGAAUUGGAAAAAUCCUUUUGGGGGUGAAGACUUUAAAGUACAGGCGCUGUGAAUUUAUGAACCAAGUGUUGGCAGUUUGGUUUCUUUCAUGUUCAAAAACACUUUUUUCCUCCCUAAAGUGGGUCUUUGGUCGUGUUUGGACAGAAGAGACUAACUAUAGAUUUUUUUUUGCUUGUUUGCACGGAGCGCCAGUUCUUCGCUUUUAGCCCCUGAGAUAUAUUUAAAAUUGAGUGCACUCGCUUUAAAUGACAGAGUUGUACUAUUUAACAGGUGCCACUGAGAGCCAAUAUGUGAAUAUGGGAACUUGUCUGAAACUAAUCUUGUCUGAAAUUAGUACUUACAUUACCUACCCCCCC